rnacentral:snRNA from 1 species
UUUUGGGAUAAAUUAAGCCACAU